ACUCCUACGGGAGGCAGCAGUGGGGGAAUAUUGCACAAUGGGCGCAAGCCUGAUGCAGCCAUGCCGCGUGUGUGAAGAAGGCCUUGGUUGUGAAAUGCACUUUCAGGUCGUGAGGAAGGUUAGUGUAGUUAAUAGCUGCAUUAUUUGACGUUAGCGACAGAAGAAGCACCGGCUAACUCCGUGCCAGCAGCCGCGGUAAUACGGAGGGUGCGAGCGUUAAUCGGAAUUACUGGGCGUAAAGCGCAUGCAGGUGGUUUGUUAAGUCAGAUGUGAAA
rnacentral:rRNA from 1 species